rnacentral:lncRNA from 1 species
CCUACAAGCAGCAAGGAAAUCUGAUAAUCUGAUGUGUUAAGGGACUACAGGUCUUAGUGCACCCUGCAGGAGUAAACUGCUUCCCUAAAGACUAACCUGGAGUGAUCUGUUAGAAGCCAAGAUUAGAGGGUGACAAGGGGAACUCUCCUUCAGUGGAGAAGGAUCGCUGGGCAGGCUGCGAGGUGAAAAAGAAAGUGUGGCUGUAGGGAAGAGGUAGAAGACUGGGUGAAUGUGCACUGCUGGAGGCUGAGUGAACAUAAAGGAUGCUCAAAAAUAAAAGCUCUAGCCAGGAAGUCGCCCAUGAUGUAGCUGCAGAACAGCUUCACUGCCCUAUUUCUUUUUAAUCUGUCCUAUCCACGUGCUGAAUCCUCACAGUGUCAUCCCUCCUCUGCCAGCUGCAGAUUAAACACCUCCAACACAUAUCACCUUUAACAUUUACUUUUCUGCUCAGCAAAUGACAAGCAGCUGAAAAGACAGAAAUGUGAAAUUUCAGCAUCAGGGAAGUUACAAGCCAAAACUCUGCAGCACUCACAGUGCAGACUUGCAAGUUGAUCUCUUGUUUCAGACAGAUUUCACGGAACAUUUAGGCUGUCAGCUAGUCAACAAUUUUAAGAUAUUUGUCUCUUUUUAUUUUUAAAUCCCAACAGCUCUUCCCUUUUCACCUUCCUUUUUGUGUUAUAUUUCACUACUCAAAAUACCUCCUGCCUCCAGGAUGUCUAAUGACACAGAGAGUGCUCAGAGGCUGCUCGGGACAUUCUAUGCAGGAGAAACAGCUCAUCAAGCAAUCAGUGGAAUCAUCAGAUUUUUUCCCUUGGAACUAGAUCUCCAGGACACCACUACAAACCCACUGUUCUCAUGGCAGCCGACUCAGGAACCUCCUCAGCACCACAAUCCUUCAUAAGAUGCAGGGAUGGCAAGACCAUUCAGAAGAUCCAAGGAGCCUGGCUGCAGGUAGGAAACCAGCAAGGAGUUU